AAGUUACUCCCUCCAUUCCACAAUACAUGCCUUCCCUUUGUCAAAAUAUAGAUGUAUCUAGACAUGUUUUAGUAUAUAGGUACAUCUAUUUUUGAACAAAUGGAAGUCAAGUAUUUUGGAACGGAGGGAGUACGUA
rnacentral:pre_miRNA from 1 species